AAAUUGUGGGGCACAGCGCCCCGCUGACCUUCACCCCAAACCGCACUGUCAACCAUGCUCAAGCGGUUCUCCGCCCUUCUCACGCACACUCCCGGCCUAGCUUCAGCCGCCCCUCAUCUACGGAACCCCAACCUCACCAGCCCCUAAGCUCCUUUUCGUCCCUCGCCCCCUGCUGCUCACUUCUGUAAACACACUCCCGCGCCUCCAGGCGUGCAGUCCUCUGAAUUUGCUGUGUUCCUCUUAGGCUUGCACUUGCACUUGCAGGGCCCGGGGCUUUUUCUAGGGGAGCAGUUUGAUUUCCAGCUGGUUCGCGCUGAUGUUUGUUUCGAGGAUGAACUGGAAACUUCCAAGCUUCUUUAAAUGCCUGAUGUGUUAAUAAAGCACAUCUCUGU